rnacentral:rRNA from 1 species
UACGUAGGGGGGCAAGCGUUGUCCGGAAUCAUUGGGCGUAAAGCGCGUGUAGGCGGCCUUGCAAGUCCGUUGUGAAAACUCGAGGCUCAACCUCGAGACGCCGGUGGAACUGCAAAGCUAGAGUCCGGAAGAGGAGAGUGGAAUUCCUGGUGUAGCGGUGAAAUGCGCAGAUAUCAGGAAGAACACCCGUGGCGAAGGCGGCUCUCUGGGACGGUACUGACGCUGAGACGCGAAAGCGUGGGAGCGAACAGG